rnacentral:rRNA from 1 species
GAUGAACGCUGGCGGCGUGCUUAACACAUGCAAGUCGAACGGUGAAGGCGGAGCUUGCUCUGCUGGAUCAGUGGCGAACGGGUGAGUAACACGUGAGCAAUCUGCCCCUGACUCUGGGAUAAGCGCUGGAAACGGCGUCUAAUACUGGAUACGAGCUGCGAAGGCAUCUUCAGCAGCUGGAAAGAAUUUCGGUCAGGGAUGAGCUCGCGGCCUAUCAGCUUGUUGGUGAGGUAAUGGCUCACCAAGGCGUCGACGGGUAGCCGGCCUGAGAGGGUGACCGGCCACACUGGGACUGAGACACGGCCCAGACUCCUACGGGAGGCAGCAGUGGGGAAUAUUGCACAAUGGGCGAAAGCCUGAUGCAGCAACGCCGCGUGAGGGACGACGGCCUUCGGGUUGUAAACCUCCUUUAGCAGGGAAGAAGCGAAAGUGACGGUACCUGCAGAAAAAGCGCCGGCUAACUACGUG